UACGAAGGGGGCUAGCGUUGCUCGGAAUCACUGGGCGUAAAGGGUGCGUAGGCGGGUCUUUAAGUCAGGGGUGAAAUCCUGGAGCUCAACUCCAGAACUGCCUUUGAUACUGAAGAUCUUGAGUUCGGGAGAGGUGAGUGGAGCUGCGAGUGUAGAGGUGAAAUUCGUAGAUAUUCGCAAGAACACCAGUGGCGAAGGCGGCUCACUGGCCCGAUACUGACGCUGAUGCACGAAAGCGUGGGGAGCAAACAGG
rnacentral:rRNA from 1 species